CCUACGGGUGGCUGCAGUGAGGAAUAUUGGUCAAUGGGCGCGAGCCUGAACCAGCCAAGUAGCGUGAAGGAUGACUGCCCUCCGGGUUGUAAACUUCUUUUAUAAAGGAAUAAAGUGAGGCACGUGUGCCUUUUUGUAUGUACUUUAUGAAUAAGGAUCGGCUAACUCCGUGCCAGCCGCCGCGGUAAUACGGAGGCUCCUAGCGUUAUCCGGAUUUAUUUGGUUUAAAGGGCGCGUAGAUGGGUUGUUCAGUCAGUUGUGAAAGUUUGCGGCUCAACCGUAAAAUUGCAAUUGAUACUGGCAGUCUUGAGUACAGUUGAGGUAGGCGGAAUUCGUGGUGUAGCGGUGAAAUGCUGAGAUAUCACGAAGAACUCCGAUUGCGAAGGCAGCUUACUAAACUGCCACUGACAUUGAUGCUCGAAAGUGUGGGUAUCAAACAGGAUUAGAUACCCGAGUAGUC
rnacentral:rRNA from 1 species